GAUUAAUUGACGUGCAAUGCCGAAGCAGAAACCACCUCACUCUCCCUUGGCUUGGGGCUGUAUAGAUAUCAGUAGUUUCACUGCCUUUUGCUGCCAUCUGGAACUUUUCAUUUGUAAAGAAGUAUAGCAGAGUAAAAGUGUAUGCGAGCCUUACUCUGGCACCAGUGAACAAGUAAUUUGCAGAGAGAAACCCCAAAUCCUAGAAUCAGUAUUAUUAGAAUAAGGACCACGUUAUUUAUCUUCAGGUUAACACUAGUUUAUCUAAAGAUAAUUUUCCCCUCUUAUCAUUCAUCUUUAAUUCUCCACAGACAGUGAAAGGUGUGUAACUGUGCAGGGAAAAGAGCUGAUAGUAUUCACUUCAGAUAAUAAACCAUAAACAGUACUGCUGCAUCUGCUAGGUUCAAAUUGCCUUCGUUUGCUGUGGAAAUUAAUCAAAUUAAAGCAGAAGAAAUUCUGUUUCAUUUUGCUUUUCCAACAUGGAACCUCAUAUACCAUGAAGAGGACCUGUGAAAAACUGUAUCUUGAAGAUGCAGAAAGGUCUGACUAUGGGUUUCCACUGCAGGACUAGCAACUAACUGGCAUUUGUGUGCUGGUGGUCCCUGCCCUGUGGACAUACAGUUAAAAAGCUCCAGAGGAGUUGUUGUUCCUUGUGCAAAGAGAAGACCUUUCCUUUGGCUCAGAGCUGGCAUCACUGCAUCAGUUGAGUGGUUACCUGGAUUGGAAGAUGGUAAAAGCAAUUGCUGCUGGGCUUUUUUUGUACAGCAGAAAGAGGUCGCAAUCUUCCCUGUGGACUGUGGUGGUUAUUCCCCCAAACUUAUGCCUUUUGCCAGCUUGGUGAUAGAACUUCGGGGUUUCAGUGGAGCAGGUGUCAAAGCACACAGCCAAGGAAUGGAGCUGAAGGCAUAAUUCUUAGUCUGAGACGUUAACUAUGGGCACAGUUGUAAUCUGAGAAAAUCAUGAAUGUCACCAAUGCAUUCUGGUAAAGUGAUAGCUAUAAAAUGAAAGAUUUAAAGGAAGCAAUCAUAAUGGUUAACAGCAGUAUGAAAAAGCUUAAACAUGUUCAUAAAUUUCAAUAACUGCUGAGCAAUAUACUGGAUUCAUCUAGGAGAGAUUUAAUUUGAAAAAUGCUAAAUAGGAGGAACAGACUGGAAACAGACAUUCCUCCUGAAGAUGAAGCCUUUUGGUGAGAAAUUUACAUUGCACUUCAGCUGAAGCGAUACUAAAUGUGAGUACAAUGUGUUAGAAAAGGAAUUAUAAAAUAAAUUGUGGAAGGAGGUUUUUAAAUUUGCACGUUAAGGAAAAAAAGCUUUAUUUUGUAUUCUCACUUCAGAUGAUGAUCGUGUCUUGAUGUAUAAGUGCCCAUGCAUGCUGAAAUAAAUG
rnacentral:lncRNA from 7 species